UACGGAGGAUGCAAGCGUUAUCCGGAAUGAUUGGGCGUAAAGCGUCCGCAGGUGGCAAUGUAAGUCUGCUGUUAAAGCGUCUAGCUCAACUAGAUACAAGCAGUGGAAACUACAUCGCUAGAGUGCGUUCGGGGCAGAGGGAAUUCCUGGUGUAGCGGUGAAAUGCGUAGAUAUCGGGAGGAACACCAGUGGCGAAGGCGGUCUUCUGGCCAGUUUCUGACGCUGAGGUGCGAAAGCUAGGGGAGCGAACGGG
rnacentral:rRNA from 1 species